AAUAUAAUGCCUGAAUAAAGGAUAGCUUUGAUAGAACUAAUAAUGUGUAUUUAUUACUCUUAUAUUA
rnacentral:tRNA from 1 species